ensembl:misc_RNA 7SK 7SK RNA
GGAUGUGGGGGCGAUCUGGCUGAGGCAUCUGUCACCCCAUUGAUCACCAGAGUUGAUUCAGCUGAUCUGGUUGGCUGGGCUGGUAUCCCCUUCCUCCCUCACUGUCCCACAUGUAUCCCUAUUUAAUCAAAGAGGACGGCCUUCGCCCAACAGAAACUGACCUGUCAUCAGUUGAGGGUUACAGGAGUAGCUGCAUUCCCCUGCUAGAACCUCCAAACAAGUUCUCAAAGUAUUGAUGUUUUUAGCAGUGUUUAAAAGGGGCAUUAAUUUGUUGGGACAAACUUUGACCAAACUAGUGUCCCAAC